GGGAGCUUGCUCCGCUGACGAGUGGCGAACGGGUGAGUAAUGUAUCGGAACGUACCAUUCAGUGGGGGAUAACGUAGCGAAAGUUACGCUAAUACCGCAUAUUCUGUGAGCAGGAAAGCAGGGGAUCGCAAGACCUUGCGCUGAUUGAGCGGCCGAUAUCAGAUUAGCUAGUUGGUGAGGUAAAAGCUCACCAAGGCGACGAUCUGUAGCGGGUCUGAGAGGAUGAUCCGCCACACUGGAACUGAGACACGGUCCAGACUCCUACGGGAGGCAGCAGUGGGGAAUUUUGGACAAUGGGGGCAACCCUGAUCCAGCCAUGCCGCGUGAGUGAAGAAGGCCUUCGGGUUGUAAAGCUCUUUCAGCCGGGAAGAAAAUGCAUGGGUUAAUACCCUGUGCAGAUGACGGUACCGGAAUAAGAAGCACCGGCUAACUACGUGCCAGCAGCCGCGGUAAUACGUAGGGUGCGAGCGUUAGUCGGAAUUACUGGGCGUAAAGCGUGCGCAGGCGGUUUUGUAAGACAGGCGUGAAAUCCCCGGGCUUAACCUGGGAACUGCGUUUGUGACUGCAAGGCUAGAGUACGGCAGAGGGGGGUGGAAUUCCACGUGUAGCAGUGAAAUGCGUAGAGAUGUGGAGGAACACCAAUGGCGAAGGCAGCCCCCUGGGUCGAUACUGACGCUCAUGCACGAAAGCGUGGGUAGCAAACAGGAUUAGAUACCCUGGUAGUCCACGCCCUAAACGAUGUCAACUAGGUGUUGGGAGGGUAAAACCUUUUAGUACCGUAGCUAACGCGAGAAGUUGACCGCCUGGGGAGUACGGCCGCAAGGUUAAAACUCAAAGGAAUUGACGGGGACCCGCACAAGCGGUGGAUGAU
rnacentral:rRNA from 1 species